rnacentral:rRNA from 1 species
UACGGGGGGGGGCAAGCGUUGUUCGGAAUUACUGGGCGUAAAGGGCUCGUAGGCGGCCAACUAAGUCAGACGUGAAAUCCCCUCGGCUUAACCGGGGGAACUGCGUCUGAUACUGGAUGGCUUGAGUUCGGGGAGAGGGAUGCGGAAUUCCAGGUGUAGCGGUGAAAAUGCGUAGAUAUCUGGAGGAACACCGGUGGCGAAGGCGGCGACCUGGGGUGGAUACUGACGCUGAGGCGCGAAAGCGUGGGGGAGCAAACAGG